CGUGCACCAGUGGGGUCCCUCGGCCUGGCCUGUGGGAUUGCAAGAGGGUGCAGGCCAGGCUGAGGGACCCCACCGGUGCACU
rnacentral:pre_miRNA from 1 species